rnacentral:rRNA from 1 species
GAGGAAUAUUGCACAAUGGACGCAAGUCUGAUGCAGCAACGCCGCGUGGAGGAUGACGGUCUUUGGAUUGUAAACUCCUUUUCUCAGGGAAGAGAAUGGACGGUACCUGAGGAAUAAGUCACGGCUAACUACGUGCCAGCAGCCGCGGUAAUACGUAGGUGGCGAGCGUUAUCCGGAAUUACUGGGCGUAAAGCGCACGCAGGCGGUUCGGCAAGUUCGACGUGAAAACUCCCGGCUUAACUGGGAGAGGUCGUUGAAAACUGCCGGGCUUGAGGCAAUGAGAGGGGUGUAGAAUUCCCGGUGUAGUGGUGGAAUGCGUAGAUAUCGGGGGGAAUACCAGUGGCGAAAGCGGCACCCUAGCGUUGUUCUGACGCUCAUGUGCGAAAGCGUGGGGAGCGAA